GGAACUGAGACACGGUCCAAACUCCUACGGGAGGCAGCAGUGAGGAAUAUUGGUCAAUGGACGAGAGUCUGAACCAGCCAAGUAGCGUGAAGGAUGAAGGUCCUACGGAUUGUAAACUUCUUUUAUAAGGGAAUAAAACCUCCCACGUGUGGGAGCUUGUAUGUACCUUAUGAAUAAGCAUCGGCUAACUCCGUGCCAGCAGCCGCGGUAAUACGGAGGAUGCGAGCGUUAUCCGGAUUUAUUUGGUUUAAAGGG
rnacentral:rRNA from 1 species